AAGGAAGGAAAUGCUCUCCCAGUCUCUUCAACAUGUUAGUGAACUACUUCCAAAUACUUCUUUGGAGGACCUUGUGAAAGAUUUGGUUGGUCAGACAUCAGGAUUCAUGCCAAGGGAUCUGCGAGCUUUAGUUGCUGAUGUUGGUGCAAAUCUAGUCCAUAGUCACGCUAGUCAGGAUGUGAAGGUUGUGCAUGGAGAUCUGAAAGAGGGUUCUCAUGAGAGCAAGCCAAUUGAGAAUGAUGGCUCACAUGACUCGGCAAAGUCACUAAGCAAAGAAGAUGUGAUGAAAUCUCUGGAACGAUCAAAGAAAAGAAAUGCAACAGCAUUGGGUACUCCAAAGGUUCCAAAUGUCAAAUGGGAAGAUGUUGGUGGGCUUGAGGACGUGAAGAAAUCAAUUUUGGACACUGUACAGCUGCCUCUUUUACAUAAGGACUUGUUUUCGUCUGGAUUGCGCAAGCGAUCUGGGGUUCUUUUCUAUGGACCUCCUGGUACAGGAAAAACUUUACUGGCAAAAGCUGUUGCUACUGAAUGCUCCCUGAAUUUUCUCAGUGUGAAAGGGCCUGAGUUGAUUAACAUGUACAUAGGAGAAUCAGAAAAAAAUGUUCGGGACAUUUUUCAGAAGGCCAGAUCAGCUCGACCAUGUGUCAUCUUCUUCGAUGAACUUGACUCGCUUGCUCCUGCCAGGGGUGCUUCUGGGGACUCCGGGGGCGUUAUGGAUCGAGUGGUUUCUCAGAUGCUUGCUGAGAUUGAUGGCCUGAACGACUCUACCCAGGACUUGUUUAUUAUUGGAGCUAGCAACAGGCCAGAUCUUAUUGAUCCUGCCCUUUUGAGGCCAGGGCGAUUCGAUAAGCUCCUUUAUGUUGGUGUUAAUUCUGAAGCCUCGUACAGGGAGAGGGUCCUUAAAGCACUUACGCGGAAGUUUAAAUUGAAAGAAGAUAUAUCUUUACUCUCAAUAGCAAAAAGGUGUCCUCCAAACUUCACGGGAGCCGACAUGUAUGCACUGUGUGCUGAUGCUUGGUUUCAUGCUGCGAAGCGCAAGGCAUUAGCUUCAGAUUCGGAUUCAACUGGCUCAGAGGAAAUGGAUGUCUCAAUUAUCGUGGAAUACGAGGAUUUUUUAAAGGUCUUGGGAGAGAUCUCCCCCUCGUUGUCAAUGGCGGAGCUUAAAAAGUAUGAGUUGCUCCGGGAACAGUUUGAAGGACCAUCAAGAUGACAGAGGCGUUGCUCAGGAACACUGAAGUGUCCCGUGCACGGAUAGGGUUCUUCCUACCAAUGGGUCAGGGAUUCGAGUCGUGACUCACCCAAAUGCCCCCCAGUUGGCCCUCUCUCCUUUAUUUUGUGUCAUUUCAGUCGUUUCGACAGGAAGAAAGAUAAAAAGGAUACUCAAGAUAGAUUAUGGAUCUGCUUUCUACUUCCCAUUUUGAGCUAGAGUUGAUAAUAAUUGUCAUUCAGCAUUUGUUUUUGUGUAUAGAGUAAAAUAAAAU
rnacentral:misc_RNA from 1 species